GAUGAACGCUGGCGGCGUGCUUAAUACAUGCAAGUCGAGCGAAGAGACGAGGAUCUUGCUCUUCUGAUGUUGUCGGCGGACGGGUGAGUCACCCGUGGAUAACCUACCUAUAUGGCUGGGAUAACUUCGACAAACCGUAGCUAAUACCGGAUAACAUCAUGAACCGGAUGGUUCAACAGUGAAAUAUGGUCUUGCUUUGACUUCUCGAUUGAUCCGCGCCGCGGUGACUAAUUGGUAAGGUAACGGCUUAACAAGGCAACGAUGCGUAGCCGACCUCAGAGGGUGAUCGCCCACACUGUAACUGAGACACGUGCCAGGCUCCUACGGGUGGCAGCAGUAGGGAACCUGCCGCAAUAGGCGAAAGCCUGACGGAGCAACGCCGCGUGAGUGAAGAAGGUCUGCGGAUCGUAAAACUCUGUUAUUAGGGAAGAACAAAUGUGUAAGUAACUAUGCACGUCUUGACGGUACCUAAUCAGAAGGCCACGGCUAAGUACGUG
rnacentral:rRNA from 1 species